rfam:Carboxydothermus hydrogenoformans Z-2901, complete genome.
UUCCGAAAAAGGCAAACCCGGCGAAAGCCGGGGACGCAAAGCUACAGGGGCUAAAGCAGGUUGUCCUGCUAUGCCAGCCAGCUGCCGAA